rnacentral:tRNA from 6 species
GGGGGUAUAACUCAGUUGGUAGAGUGUUGCCCUUGCAAGGCAAAAGUCAGCGGUUCGAAUCCGCUUACCUCCA